CCUACGGGCGGCAGCAGUGAGGAAUAUUGGUCAAUGGCCGUAAGGCUGAACCAGCCAAGUCGCGUGAAGGAAGAAGGAUCUAUGGUUUGUAAACUUCUUUUAUAGGGGAAUAAAGGUAUCCACGUGUGGAUAUUUGCAUGUACCCUAUGAAUAAGCAUCGGCUAACUCCGUGCCAGCAGCCGCGGUAAUACGGAGGAUGCGAGCGUUAUCCGGAUUUAUUGGGUUUAAAGGGUGCGUAGGCGGAAGGUUAAGUCAGCGGUCAAAUGUCGGUGCUCAACACCGGCCUGCCGUUGAAACUGGUCUUCUUGAGUGAGCGAGAAGUAUGCGGAAUGCGUGGUGUAGCGGUGAAAUGCAUAGAUAUCACGCAGAACUCCGAUUGCGAAGGCAGCAUACCGGCGCUCAACUGACGCUGAGGCACGAAAGCGUGGGGAUCGAACAGGAUUAGAUACCCGUGUAGUC
rnacentral:rRNA from 1 species